CUUUAUUUUUGCAGCUUCUAUUUGCCUCAUACUGACUAUGAAAAUGGCAAAAACUAAGGGUUCUUCCAAGAAGCAGCAAAAGCGUGAAAUUGACUUCAAA